rnacentral:tRNA from 1 species
UAUGGCUCAGUGGUCGAGUGCUUGCUUACCAUGUGAGAGGCCCUGGGUUCAAUCCCCAGUA